rnacentral:rRNA from 1 species
GGGGAAUAUUGGACAAUGGGGGAAACCCUGAUCCAGCAAUGCCGCGUGAGUGAUGAAGGCCUUAGGGUUGUAAAGCUCUUUUACUAGGGAUGAUAAUGACAGUACCUAGAGAAUAAGCCCCGGCUAACUCCGUGCCAGCAGCCGCGGUAAUACGGAGGGGGCUAGCGUUGUUCAGAAUUACUGGGCGUAAAGAGUACGUAGGCGGUUAUUCAAGUCAGAGGUGAAAGCCUGGAGCUCAACUCCAGAACUGCCUUUGAAACUAGAUAGCUAGAAUCAUGGAGAGGUUAGUGGAAUUCCGAGUGUAGAGGUGAAAUUCGUAGAUAUUCGGAAGAACACCAGUGGCGAAGGCGACUAACUGGACAUGUAUUGACGCUGAGGUACGAAAGCGUGGGGAGCAAACAGGAUUAGAUACCCUGGUAGUCCACGCCGUAAACGAUGAUAACUAGUUGUUCGGGCUCUACGAGCUUGAGUGACGCAGCUAACGCAUUAAGUUAUCCGCCUGGGGAGUACGGUCGCAAGAUUA